rnacentral:misc_RNA from 1 species
GAUGAAGAACGUAGCGAAAUGCGAUAAGUAAUGUGAAUUGCAGAAUUCAGUGAAUCAUCGAGUCUUUGAACGCACAUUGCGCCCCCUGGUAUUCCGGGGGGCAUGCCUGUCCGAGCGUCAUUGCUGCCCUCAAGCACGGCUUGUGUGUUGGGCCCCCGUCCCCGGUUUCCCCCGGGGACGGGCCCGAAAGGCAGCGGCGGCACCGCGUCCGGUCCUCGAGCGUAUGGGGCUUUGUCACCCGCUCUGUAGGCCCGGCCGGCGCCAGCCGACACCCAACUUUAUUUCUAAGGUUGACCUCGGAUCAGGUAGGGAUACCCGCUGAACUUAAGCAUAUCAAUAAGCGGGGA